rnacentral:rRNA from 1 species
UGAUCCUGGCUCAGGACGAACGCUGGCGGCGUGCUUAACACAUGCAAGUCGAACGCUGAAGCCUAGCUUGCUGGGUGGAUGAGUGGCGAACGGGUGAGUAACACGUGAGUAACCUGCCCUCUUCUUUGGGAUAACGCCCGGAAAUGGGUGCUAAUACUGGAUAUUCACUGGUCUUCGCAUGGGGGUUGGUGGAAAGGGUUUUUCUGGUGGGGGAUGGGCUCGCGGCCUAUCAGCUUGUUGGUGGGGUGAUGGCCUACCAAGGCUUUGACGGGUAGCCGGCCUGAGAGGGUGACCGGUCACAUUGGGACUGAGAUACGGCCCAGACUCCUACGGGAGGCAGCAGUGGGGAAUAUUGCACAAUGGGCGCAAGCCUGAUGCAGCGACGCCGCGUGAGGGAUGGAGGCCUUCGGGUUGUGAACCUCUUUCGCUCAUGGUCAAGCCGCAACUGUGGGUUGUGGUGAGGGUAGUGGGUAAAGAAGCGCCGGCUAACUACGUGCCAGCAGCCGCGGUAAUA